AUACGGAGGGUGCAAGCGUUGUUCGGAAUCACUGGGCGUAAAGGGCGCGCAGGCGGUUUGGUAAGUCAGAUGUGAAAGCCCACGGCUCAACCGUGGAAGUGCAUUUGAAACUGCCAGACUUGAGUACCUGAGGGGAAAGUGGAAUUCCCGGUGUAGAGGUGAAAUUCGUAGAUAUCGGGAGGAAUACCGGUGGCGAAGGCGACUUUCUGGCUGGAUACUGACGCUGAGGUGCGAAAGCGUGGGUAGCAAACGGGAUUAGAUACCCUAGUAGUCC
rnacentral:rRNA from 1 species